GGUCAUGGCUCAGUGGUAGAGUGCUUGCCUUACAUGUGUGAGGCACUGUGUUCAAUUCUCAGUACCA
rnacentral:tRNA from 1 species